AGUUCUAGGGAAGAUAACAGGGGUUUGUAUCUAGUUUAAGAUAAAAAUGAAGACAGGAUUGACUCACUCAAGAAACAGAACACACUGAGGAUGCGGCCAUCAUUAAAUUGGCUAUGAUGUAGCUGACAGGAUGGGAACUUUCACCUGAACCACCCGAAACCUUUCGGUCUGCCCCUCACAGGGUAAAAAGAACAUUGUGUCAAGGUCCAAGAGUCCGUUGAAUUCUGCAGACCUCCUGAAGCUGGAGCCCGUGUGUGACUCCAUUACUCACACGUGCCCCACAGCAGGUUCCCAAGGAGACGUUGUCUGUCUUCGGUUAACUGCUCCAUCUGGGCCAUGAGUCGCCCCAGAGGCGGACA